GGAAACCCAAGCUAAACUCAGCCAUUGGAAACGAGCCUGACCACAACAACCUGCAAAGGCAGUGGGCAGAUCUGUGAAGGGCUUGAUGCGAAUGUGAAAUAUGCACCAUUUAUUGGUGAAAGGAAGAAAAAAAAAACGGGUUUACAAAACAGGCACAUUUCUGAGUAUUCUUGGAGUCUCAAAACUUUCUCAUUUGUAUUUUCACAUGCACGGAGGACUCUGGGGACACGCAGCAGCAGCAUUGUUUUGAGCUGGGAAAGGAGACCCUUCCCUGUGUAUUGCUACACCUCUUCCUCUCAGCCAUCAGCUGACAGCAAGAUAACAAGGCAAACCCAACAUUCCUCCUCGCACAGGCCGUUGUAGCAAGACCGUGGGGAUGAGAGAUGUGGGUUUGGAUGUCUGUUUUCCCUGCAAAGAACACUCUGGUCCUCUCCCUAAGCUGCUUCCUGGGGGAGAAGCUACUGCUGCCGUUAUAAAAUGCAGAUUUUAAACCAUUAUUGGCUUUCGUGUGAAAUCCUCUGUUCUAACACAGACAGACUCCCGUCAAUUCAACCAAAACACUCAAGUCAUCCAGGAGAAAAAACAAAGUCAAUACCCAUGAUGUCUGUAUACAAAAUACUUUUAUUUAUUUCUUCUUUUAUGCAAAUUGGAAAGCGUUGAACCAGUUUUUGUCUCAUUUACAGUUCCACACAGCUCCAAGCUCACAAACAAGAUAUACAACAAUGCAACUUCAAUCAUAUCUGUAGGAGUGUAGUAUAGAAAAUAACCUUCAUGAAAAAAUCUCUCUCUCUCUCUCUCUAUAUAUAUAUAUAUAUAUAUAUACACAUACA